CCGCCGCGCCUCCCCUCCCGGGGCUCACCUCCUCGAUGGCCGCCACCGUGUUCCUGCACUGGGCCAUCCGGGUGGUGAAGUUGGAGGCGAAAAUGUUCAACUGAUGCAACUGAACAUAAUCAGCAGGCAAGACUGAGAACAGCCCCACUGGAGAACAGAGGAUGGUCCAUCUCCAUUGAGAGGGACAGCUUUUCACAUCUGUGGUGGAAGUUAUCAAACCUAUCAUCAGAACCAGUGGAGAACUUUAAUUUGGUGAUGUUUUGGACUCACUUCAUAAAAGAAAAAUAGCUGAAAUGUAAUGGAGUGGCAAAACACGGUACUUGCAUCUGAAGCACGGUAAUGGGAGGAUGCAAAUGCAGUGAUGUGUAUUAAUUAUAAAAUCAUAAAAAUUUAGGCAGAAGUGGCACAGCCCACCAAUUCAUCCCAAGAUUGUACCACCAUCGUUCCUCACGGGGCCUUGUCUGAGCAGCUCCUAAAGACUUAGACAAGCUUCUCUUGAUUGUGGAGUUCGUCGUAGUUCUGUGUCCAAAUGGCAUUUUCAGUCCACCAAAGAUGUCCUUCUGGGAGCUUUGGGUGACUUGUCUACACGGGACAGGGAUUUGUGCUCAUUACUUCCUUCCAGCGUUGGACUUCACUGUCUCGCCCAUCGCCAUUGCUGGUGCAACGAGCCCUGACCCAUACGAAAUCUGCCUCCUUCCACCAGCUCUCUGCCAGCAAUCCUUCUCAGAAACAACAACCAGAGACAAAGCUGGGCUUCCGGGGAUGUUCCUCUCCAGUGGCUGCAAUGGCCCUACAAAGAGCUGCUUGGAAAGGCAUUUUUCCUUCUCUCUGAGGCUUUUUCUGAAGAGGUAUAUGACAUUUCCAGAAGUCUAGUUACUUCUCCUCUAAGUUUUCUGUGUCCAUGAUAGACGUGUUUUUAAAUCAAUGCUUUUGGCUUCUUGAACCGCAGUAAAUAAUCUUAUGAGGAACAGAGUCAAUAUGUAUUUGCUCUUUUGCUCUUAAGCACUUUCCUGGUAGCCGUGCUCAGCACUGACUCCCAUUUCGAUCAACUGCUCUGGCAUCUCAUCUUCAUUCAAAUUCUCACAGGCGGCCGGCGGUGCCCCUCCUGUAUCACGCACCUCCAUACAGAGGCCUGUCUGAGGGUCACGGCUCUGUCAGAAGCUGUAGGCUUAAUUGUCCCUUGUGCGAAGAUAAAUAGCAUUGAGUUGCACAGCACCAUUUUGACAGGAACACGAUUGUAUAGAGGAUGUUAUCAGAGCCCAUAAAUGAAAUGGAGGGCCUUUCAGAGCCAAUUUCAAUGUUGUUUCAAAACAAAAAAGCCCAAACAAUAUCCGAAAAUAAGGAACCAGAAAAUAGCCUGCAGUGAUUUUCUUCUAGUCUGCCUAUACUUCAGAAGACUGAACUCAUUUUUUGUGAACGAUGCCACCGGGGAGCCUGUGGCCUACGUCCAGGCCACUAUCCAUCCAACACCUGUGUGACACAGGAAACACACAUGAAGACACUGGAAGUUCCUGUGAUACCGUGUGUCGCAUGGUCCAUGUGGCUGAGAGGAGAACUGCUGUAGCAGGGAGGACCAAUACAGAUUAGAUUAUCUGGACUUUCCUCACAGAAACUUGUUCCUUCUCAGCAGUGCUUAUCAGUACUGAGCACCUUAUCAUGAUUCACCUGCACAUGGGGAUUUAAAUGGGCAUUUUUUGUGGGUACAGACAGCACCAUCUUCCUGCCUUACCAGUCACAUCAUUGUUUUGUUUUUUUAAUAUACUCUAAAUCACAUCAGCUUUAGAGACGUAAAAGUGUUACUUAUCUCUGCAGUAUGACACACACCCCCCUCCCCAGUUUCUGGCCACAUUUGCUGCCUGCCUCCCAGUUUGCAUGCUGCUCACCAUCCAUCUUCACUGACUUUUCCCCCACACCAAUGUGAGAUUAAAACACCAUGGGAAAUUAAAUGCAGCGCAUAUAAAUCAUGUUUAUUGUUGCCUCGGAUACAGAAAGAUAACAAGAAUCAAUAAGAAAGGCACGAUGACUCACAGUUUUAUUAGUAUUCUCAGUUUUUCAUGAGCUGAGCCUUCCUAAAGAAAUGGUUUAAUUGGACCACUGAGAUCUUGAAGAAUUCAUAUAUUCCUGGCUAUUUAUCUUCUGAAACUUCAGGUUCUGAUUUUCAAUAGCACUUACAAUCAUGAGGGAAAGAACUUUACUUCUCUCAGAGAACCUGACAAAUUUCUAAAAGGUACAGAGGUUUUGUGCGGGCAGAAUUAAUCUUAGCUGUGGUGCCUGAAGCAGAGAGGUGGUGCUCAGGUCUCUGAGCGCCCUUAGCUGGGGAGGAGGCAGGUGGCCAAAACGACACGGAGAACUGGUUGUUCAGAUGGCUGAAGUGUUGUCCUUCCGUCUUCUACCCUCACAAAGCAUAAAAAAACAUUCUACAAUUUCUCUCUGCCUGAUUACAGGACCAAUGGAUCAGAACAACAUUAUUUUGACCAUUCCUCAUGAUUAAUUGUCUUUUAUCACAAUCUGUGAUAACUUUAUUUCUAUGAAAGGUUCAUUGUCUUAUUUAAAUUUGUUGCCACUAUUUUUCUGGAAAAAUUUUAUUCAAACACAGUUUAACCUAAGCGUAUCAGAAUACGGACUCCACACAAUUAUCCCUAAUAAAAUCAGAUACAAACAUGUUUCCUUGCUCGCAGCAUAGUCCUUCACCAUGGUUUUCUUUGGGCAGCAAGUGUGAGGAUCUGUUUCCUUGGCUGCUUCAUACACUUUACCUGCACCCUUUUGAGUUGUUCAGACCGUACCUGGCUUUUAUCCCCGGCCCAGAAGUAACCUUGUGCUAACCCCAACCUUGUACACUAGCGGGCGUUUCUCUCUGGAGCACAUAGUGAUGCAAAAGCAAAGGCCAAUCUCUAGCCUUUCCAUAAGAGACAUCAUUUCUCUUUCAGCUUUUCAAAAGAACAUCCCACAGACAUUCACCGGUCCCUUAGGUUGUGGCUAAACUCUUUUCUCAUGGGCUAACAUCUGGCAUGAACUAUGGAAGCAAAAUCUCCCAAAAUAAGAGAAUGUUCCACUAACAUCCCCAGUAGCCUAAGGAGCAGAUAUUUCCUUCCUUGGUCAUUUGGGCAAAUGGGCCCAUGUUUCCACGAAACUUGUUACCGCGGGUCUUUAUACAUCAUUCCCACCUGGGUAUUGGGUCUGUCUUCCAUCACAGCCAAUCAUGAGCUCCCUGCCCUGGAUUUCCCAGUCCGGUGACUGGCAAACUGCGCUGUAAACUUCCACUGUGCCGCCCCGGCAGUGGAUUUGCCACGACCGAACUUCAGUGCUAACAAAAGCAGACAACAGGGGUGGGUGUGAGUGCUUGGGCAUGCUGUCAGUAUGCCUUUCCACAGGACUGGUCUGUCACUGCAUUUCUCUACUUAUUUCUGGGAAAAUGGCUUUUAUCAUCUAAACUUUCUGGUUGUCUCUUUACUGCCUUAUUCAUUGCCUUCACCCACUGACCACUGCAGGCUGGCUGGCAUUAAGGACUGAUAAUUAACAAGAUAAAGAUGCUCCAGGUACACUCUUUCCAGAGGCAACUCCUUCGUUAUCUUUUCUGGUUCCUUGUAGAAGCUGCAGUGACAAAUCUGU